rnacentral:lncRNA from 1 species
CCUCCACAAGACCGUUGAUUAUGUUGCAAAAUGGGAAGUUGCUCAAGAAAAGUUGGAAUCAGAGAUAGAAACCAUUGUCAAGGAAUGGAUCAAUUAACAAUAUUAGAAUUUGAGCUUCAAAAUGAAAGCAAAAACAAAACGAUUCUUCAUUUUUAUAUAAGCAAUGAUCUUAACAAUGUCAUGAUCAGAUACAGCACAAUGGGUCUUGCUGUGUUCAACACAAAACCAAAAGAAAAAAGAAAUAUUUUUCUUGAAGCAACUGCUAAAGUGGUAGUCUACAGCAAGAGGGAAGAGAUAAUCUGCAAUCCACAAUCGUAACAAUCACCCGGAACCAGUUUCUUAUGGUUUUCUUAAUCGUACAUUCCUUCCUGCUCCCAAACAUCUACCAGAAAAUCGACCAUUUCCUGCCAGUUUAACAGUCGAAACAGUGAGAUUAUAGGAGUGGUGUUUGCGCGGCGGGGAUGUUGCGCGCCGUGUUUCUCGACCCCCUCAUCCUCCACGUCACAGCCUUCGCCACCAAAACCAUCUCAAUCUCCAGCAUCGCCGACCCGCCGCCACCGGCUGUCGGAGGCGCGGAGACGGACGGUGAAGGAGAGGUAAUCGACGAAGGAAGAGCUGGCGGCGAGAAAAAGGCCGUAGGAGAAGGAGAAGGCGAUGAGGACGCAGGAGCCGCCGCCGCCAUUUCAAGCACUCCAGAUCUCCAGAUCUCCGGCGAUCGACGGCAACGCCACUUCAAAUAUUGGAGCUCGAAGUCGGAAUCAAUGGAUUCGGUGCUCUAACCACUGCGAUGCCUCCGAUUACGCCACCGAUUGAUGAAUCCAAGGAAUCGAGAUCGCCGCGCGACGACGACGGCCACGGCACGCACACUUUCACCACCGCCGUCGGAUCCAUCGUCUCUGGCGUGAGUUUGUUCGGUUACAACGGCGGCGCAGGGAUGAGAUCGCCGGCGAUCUGAGCUCGAAGGGAGGGAGGGAGGGAGAGAGAAAAAGAGAGAGAAUGGGGAAGGGAGUUGACUGUGAGGGAGA